AAUGAACGCUGGCGGCGCGCCUAAUACAUGCAAGUCGAGCGAGAAGACGUAGCAAUACGUUUGUAAAGCGGCGAACGGGUGAGGAAUACAUGGGUAACCUACCCUAGAGUGGGGAAUAACUAGCCGAAAGGUUAGCUAAUACCGCGUACGCUCCUUGGACUUCGGUUCAGGGAGGAAAGCGAUGCCGAGGGUAUCGCGCUCUUGGAUGGGCUCAUGUCCUAUCAGCUUGNGGUGAGGUAACGGCUCACCAAGGCUUCGACGGGUAGCUGGUCUGAGAGGACGAUCAGCCACACUGGCACUGCGACACGGGCCAGACUCCUACGGGAGGCAGCAGUAAGGAAUAUUGCGCAAUGGGCGAAAGCCUGACGCAGCGACG
rnacentral:rRNA from 1 species